rnacentral:misc_RNA from 1 species
AACACCUCAAAGACAUUUCUGAUUUAUUUUCUGGAAAGGCCUUUGGACUUGAGCAAUCCCAACACCAGUCCUUUACGGGAUCGGCGGAGGGUUGCUUGAAAUGCAGGUGCAGCUGGACAUUCUCCUGAGCUAUAAGCAUAUCUAUUUAGUCCCGUCAAACGGAUUAUUACUUUUGCUGCAGCUAACAUAAAGGGAGUCUGACCGUAUUGGCUGACUGAUGCAGGAUUUCACAGGGGUUGGAAACGACUCUUGUAAA